UUUUUGUUCUUUAAACACGUGCUCAGACUGACCAGCGGCUGCCAUAAAAACAUCGUGUCGAAGAACGGAACACAACAGAAGUGCGUGUGUAUUCCCGGAUCACCACUCGCCUGCAAGCACCGAAAAAGCCACGAUGAAGAAGUUGGUGCUCAUACUGGUCGUCGUUCUUCUCUGCGAAUUGAUGGUGACGGAAGCUGUCCAUCCUGGCAGGGUAUCGCACGGCGUUAGAAAACCAAACCGGGGAGCUGUGAAGUGUGGUAGAAAGACCUGCCGUCCGGACCAGUACUGUGACACAAACCUGCCGACACCUACAUGUGGCCCUGAUUAAACCCGCAGCAAGGAAAAGCACACCAGAUGAAUACUGGGUGACAUGAAGCAGUUGGCCGAGUCAAUAAAGUUAUUUGUACUCUA